AUGAUAUCAUUAAAAAUCGAAAAUAUGGCCAUUAUCAAAUGGCCUUCUCUGAUUCCAACAGAACUAACAAAUGCUGUGGCACUUCCUCCCUCAGAUGUUUUCCCAAUUCAUGGACUGAGUGAAACAAAUAGAAACAAAACUAGCAAGACAUCUUCAACAAUGGGGGCAACUUACUUUGCAGCUUCUUCAUGAUGAUAAGCCACCUUCUAGGAUAAUAAGCUCAAACCCCACAUCAAUGGCUAAAUUGAUAGCUCGCCAAAAAAAAGCUUCAACAGCAAAAGGGGAAGGUGCAUGAAAAAUUGGACCGACUGCAUCUACAAGAACUUCCCAUUCCAUACCGUCCGGAUCGAAAGGAGAAAGAACCAUCAAAGUUUAUUUUGACAAGCCCUGGAGAAGGAGGACACCAACGCCGGAUAGUAGGCCGUGGAAUUUGAUCCGUCAGAUGUGUCACUGUAGAAUAAUCCAAGUGGUAAGUAUCAAUAAAACGCCUCUGACAAUCCACACUAACUUUAAGACCUUCAUGCUUCUCCGGAUUGUAGUAUAAAAAUUUCUGCAACAAAAAGGGGAAAUUGAUUUAUGCAGUUGAUGAACCAUCCCUCAAGAGAGAGUUGUAGUUCGUCAGUGCUCCAAGCAAACCCCUAAGCCACCCAAAAAUCAUUUUCCAAGGGACACCGUCGAAUUGCAUGAAGAACAUCUUCCUCAGCCCUCAUACACCUGAGGCACAACGCCGAAUCAUCAAUAUGGCGUGUAGCAAAUACCAUCACCACCGGAAUAAAACCGUGGAAACAUCGCCAAACUCAAACAAGAAUCUUCUCAGUGUCGCCAAGCUAGCUCAGGGAUCGAAGAUUGUUGAAGAUCUAGUCAUACUAUCAAAUUAUUAUUUUGGGUACCAAUGAUUUUAACAUUUUGAGUUAUGGCAUGUAUAGGGACUUGUUCGUUUUGUUUUGUGUCAUAAUUGAUUGGCCAAAUGUGUUGGCUUAUGAUGGUUGAUAAAUCAUUUUGUAAAUGACCAUUGAAAUUGGCUAAUAUUGAUUUAAGUAUAUAUGCA